GAGUUUGAUCCUGGCUCAGGAUGAACGCUAGCGGCAGGCCUAACACAUGCAAGUCGAACGGUAACAGGGGUAGCAAUAUCUGCUGACGAGUGGCGCACGGGUGAGUAACGCGUAUGCAAUCUGCCCUAUACUGGGGAAUAGCUCGAAGAAAUUCGGAUUAAUACCCCAUACCGCUUAAUACAGGCAUCUGUAUUCAGUGAAAGCUCCGGCGGUAUAGGAUGAGCAUGCGUGCCAUUAGUUAGUUGGUGAGGUAACGGCUCACCAAGACGAUGAUGGCUAGGGGGUCUGAGAGGAUGGUCCCCCACACUGGUACUGAGACACGGACCAGACUCCUACGGGAGGCAGCAGUGAGGAAUAUUGGUCAAUGGACGCAAGUCUGAACCAGCCAUGCCGCGUGCAGGAUGACGGCCCUAUGGGUUGUAAACUGCUUUUGUAUGGGAAGAAACCCCCGAUCGUGAUCGGGGCUGACGGUACUUUACGAAUAAGCAUCGGCUAACUCCGUGCCAGCAGCCGCGGUAAUACGGAGGAUGCAAGCGUUAUCCGGAUUUAUUGGGUUUAAAGGGUGUGUAGGCGGGGUAGUAAGUCAGUGGUGAAAGUCUGCAGCUUAACUGUAGAAUUGCCGUUGAUACUGUUACUCUUGAAUUCAGUUGAGGUAGGCGGAAUGUGUAAUGUAGCGGUGAAAUGCAUAGAUAUUACACAGAACACCGAUUGCGUAGGCAGCUUGCUAAACUGAGAUUGACGCUGAGGCACGAAAGCGUGGGGAGCAAACAGGAUUAGAUACCCUGGUAGUCCACGCCGUAAACGAUGAUUACUGGAUGUGUGCGAUACACUGUACGCGUCUGAGCGAAAGCAUUAAGUAAUCCACCUGGGGAGUACGAUCGCAAGAUUGAAACUCAAAGGAAUUGACGGGGGCCCGCACAAGCGGAGGAACAUGUGGUUUAAUUCGAUGAUACGCGAGGAACCUUACCUGGGCUUAAAUGCAGAACGACGUACCGGGAAACUGGUAUUCCCUUCGG
rnacentral:rRNA from 1 species